GAUGAAGAACGUAGCGAAAUGCGAUAAGUAAUGCGAAUUGCAGAAUUCAGUGAAUCAUCGAAUCUUUGAACGCACAUUGCGCCCGCCAGUAUUCUGGCGGGCAUGCCUGUUCGAGCGUCAUUUCAACCAUCAAGCCUUCGCUUGUGUUGGGGCCCCGCGGCUGCCGCGGUCCCCUAAAUCCAGUGGCGGGCUCGUCGUCGUACCGAGCGCAGUAGACAUCCUCGCUCCGGGAACCCGACGGGUGCCGGCCGUGAAACCCCCCACAUCAAGGUUGACCUCGGAUCAGGUAGGAAUACCCGCUGAACUUAAGCAUAUCAAUAAGCGGAGGA
rnacentral:misc_RNA from 1 species